rnacentral:piRNA from 1 species
UCACUAAAUACUGUUGAUAGAGCAUGUGC